rnacentral:rRNA from 1 species
GGGAAUCUUCCACAAUGGACGCAAGUCUGAUGGAGCAACGCCGCGUGAGUGAAGAAGGUUUUCGGACCGUAAAGCUCUGUUGUUGGUGAAGAAGGAUAGAGGUAGUAACUAGCCUUUAUUUGACGGUAAUCAACCAGAAAGUCACGGCUAACUACGUGCCAGCAGCCGCGGUAAUACGUAGGUGGCAAGCGUUGUCCGGAUUUAUUGGGCGUAAAGCGAGCGCAGGCGGAAGAAUAAGUCUGAUGUGAAAGCCCUCGGCUUAACCGAGGAAUUGCAUCGGAAACUGUUUUCUUGAGUGCAGAAGAGGAGAGUAGAACUCCAUGUGUAGCGGUGGAAUGCGUAGAUAUAUGGAAGAAUACCAGUGGCGAAGGCGGCUCUCUGGUCUGCAACUGACGCUGAGGCUCGAAAGCAUGGGUAGCGAACAGGAUUAGAUACCCUGGUAGUCCAUGCCGUAAACGAUGAGUGCUAAGUGUUGGGAGGCUUCCGCCUCUCAGUGCUGCAGCUAACGCAUUAAGCACUCCGCCUGGGGGAGUACGACCGCAAGGUUGAAAC